UUUUAAAUCUUAUCAAAAAAAGGGAUCUUUAUUUUACAUGUAUAUUUAUAAUGUAUUUUUUAUCUGCCAAUUGCUUAGUUCCCGGGAUCUGUGACACUUAAAAUAAUAGAAUAUGCAUACAAGUUUAUUAUCAAGGUACUGCUUUUAAAUUGUUUCUUUUCUAAUCUGUAAACCUCUGGUCAAGAUUGAGUAUUCAUGUAACAUAUCAGACUGCAUUCCAAAAAUAUGUUAAUACCAUCUAUUAGAAUAAUUUGGCAAUGGAGGCUUAAUGAUAAUGAUGGCUAAAUGUAAAGUACCCCACUAUAUUUCCUCAAUAUAUUAUAUUCCAUAUUUUAAAUACUGUGACAGUUCCUGCAGUCUGGUUUGAAAAAGGGGGGACUGGCAUGUUUGCAAUAAUGUGUUCAUCAGUACUAAACAUGAGCAUCGUUCGUUGUUGGGGAACUAGUCAGCCUUCUUGAGUAGGACUAAGGGGUUUCUGUACCUGAGGUUUAAGCAACGUGUAGCAGCAGGGGGUGCCGUGGAAGAUUGGAGAGGCUCUGAGUGGUUCUUUCGAGUUUCCUUCAUUACCCAACGGGCUGACGGAGAGAGUGGGACGCUGCGGCACCAUGCUCCAUCCCCUGGCUGUGUUCGUGCUGGUCGUCAACGUGUCCAUCACCGUCUUCUACUGGCUGUUCAUCCUGACUGAGGCCUUCAAGCAGAGGAAAGCGGAGGACCAACAGCCUGCAUAAAAGGCCUUUUGCAAGAAAGUGGAAGAUGACCCGGAACCCGCGGACCCCAUCACAGCAUGAAUAAGUACACAUACCUGGCUCCUUCCUGCAGGGGGCUUGCUUCAAGUCAAAAGGACCCAACCACAGCAAGAUAGAGCAGAGAGGUGGAGAAGAGGGGGCGGAUCAUUUCCAGAAUACUUUCAUAGCUCCUACAUUCAUGGUUUUGAAGCGUGGUUCAGUUGUUGAUCAUCUAACACUUACCGUAACUGGAAGGGUUUGUAUACAAAGAUGAAAGAAUCAAGGCAAAAUUGGAGCCAACCAAAUUUUCCGCUAAACGUCCCCCUCUCAGAUAUCUUUUCAUCUUAGUACUCCUUUCAACAGCACAAAACAUUUGAAGGUGAGGUGAGGUGUGCCCUUCAGAUUCAACACAUUUUAUUAAAGGUACAGUGUGUAGAAUUGAGGGGCAUCCAGCAGAAUAGACUUGUCCAAAAUGGAAUAUAAAAUUCAUAAGUUUUCAGUUGGUUGCAAUCUUUCAUAACCAAUUUCCAACAACAAAUAUACCUCUUUUGAAAUCGUCCAAGUACCCCCUCCAAUCCUCCAUAGAUAUGUUUUAAUAUCAGAAAAUCAUCCCCAUUGAUUGAUAGAUGAGUGUAAUUAGGUUUCAUUAAUUUGAUAUGAUAUGGAUAUAGGAUGUAUGACACAUAUAUAUCUGAAAAUGAUAUAGAUUAUAUAUAAAUUAUAAAGAAAAUACAUAGUUGGAAAUGCAGUGUGUUACAAAAUAAAAAUAUAUAUCGUGUUUUCAAAGCUGAAAUUGUGUUUGUUGUAGUAAUACUUUGGCACUUGUUUAAGAGACAUUAAUAAGUGAUGCUAAUGUUAAAGCUAAACUAGGUUCCCUAUUAUAACAAUCCCUCCCUCCAAAAAUAUCAUCAUUAAUAUAAUCAACAUUUGAUGAGUCAUUGUCACCAGCAUGAGUAUGAAAACAUGGCAAAUAAGCUUGACCUAUCACCUUUCACCCAACCCUAGAGCUUGGAAAGAAUAUCAUCUGGGGAAUUGUUUUUGUUUGUUGUGUGUUUUGUAUAAUUACAAUGAAAUGAAUGGCCUUGCCCUUCAACAUUAAAAACAACACUGGAAUAAUUAAACGUAGCCUUAUAAUUUAUUGU